rnacentral:tmRNA from 1 species
GGGGAUGCAUUGGAUUUGACCGGUGCAGUUAUUAUAUGGUUGCAAGUAGGUUCGCAGACACCUUAAAAGUCAGCAAAAAUAUAAAUGCCGAUAAAAAAGCAUUUGUGCCAGCAAUGGCAUACGUUAACGCUUAACAAAGCGGAAACUGGCAACAAAAAUUCUUCCUGGAGAGUUUUUGGCUUAGCCUAAUAAAACCAGGAUGAGGUCAUUUGAGUUUGGUUAACUCAAGUCGCCAAGGGAGAAAUUCCAAAGAAAAACCUGCAGAAAGCACAAAGGGUUUACCGGAUACCUGCUUUCCCAAGAUAAUGUUCGGUUAAACUUGUAGAAACUGUAUAAAAAAGGCUUCGGAACGUGGGUUCAACUCCCGCCAUCCCUACCA